rnacentral:lncRNA from 1 species
AUUCUGUGUAAAUGGAAUGUGUUGUAGCUGGCUUUGUACAAUAUCCAGUGUCUCCCUAGCUUGAAUAAGCUUUUGCUUAUAGGAAGACAUCUGGCUAUUAAUCCCCUUUAAUUUUUGCUUCAAGGCUUUCAGUUUGGUCGAUACCUGCUGCAUAGGUGGUCCUUCACAGUGCUGUGACCAAGUUUGUUCCAGAAUAGAUUUAAACUGAGGAUCCUCCAUAAUUGCAAUGUAGAAUCUGAAAGGUUUGGGGUGUAGA